CUCCACAUAUUAUCUACAAGCUAAAAAAAUGGCACACCUUCUAAGAGUGAAAUCUUGCAAUUUGAGAUGAUUGGGACUUCAAAAUAAUGAAAACUUUAGGAAACUAGGAACUAGCAAAAGUUCUUCAAGUUGUGUAUGUGCGUUGGGGUGCAGAUCUUUGUUGUAACAACACUGCAGUUACAGUCAAAGUUGUGUGGAGCCGACCCCACGUGUCAUCUGCAGCACUGCACUGAUAACUGCAGAGGAUCCCAACCCGCGCAUCUGAUGCUGUAUCAAUCAAGAAGAUCACAAACCUUUGCAGCCCCAUGAUAAAGCUUGCCACUGGUUCAGAUCCAAUAGUAUAAUUUCUGCCCCAUGUCAGAGUGAUUAUACCUAGAUCGACUCAGAAAUAACUACAGUUGAAUAAUAGAAAAGUCGUAUCAAUGUAUAGGACAUACUAUUAGCAAAUUGUGUUUGUGCCUAUUUGUGGGGCAGUUGAGUUGUAGGUGCCUAAAAAGUGUAACACUCUACCGAGUACACAUGGGUUUGAAUUCUGGUAUCCCGACACCUUGGUGGAUGGAUGUACCUUGUGAUGGCAAAAUAUGGAUUUUGUGAAUGUCGUCUAGUCGGGAGUGCAGUACGCCAUAUCCUUGUGAUCCGUGGGGCUGAAAACAACAAGUCCCCCUCAGCACGACAGGGUGGAAUGCAGACCCCCCCUGCAAAUAUGCUUAGCCAGUGUAAAUUAGUCCAGUAAGUUCUUGGAAGCAAAGAACAAUUUACACGCUGGAUUCUUAGUGGCCAAAAUGUCCUUACUUGGACAAACAGUACCCACUUGGCUAUUUUUCAGACUGGACCAAAAUCUUGACCCAGUUGGCGUCUCGUGACCGCCAGCAUUGGCCUCUCCC
rnacentral:lncRNA from 1 species